CAGAGCCUCGGCAGGUGUCUGCUCCCGGGCAGGCCUGCGCUGCCAGCUGAGCGCUCCUGCAGACGCAGGCCGGCAGGGAUAUCGAUCUAGAUGAAAGCCAACACCGUUGCCGGGGCCGGGUAACCGUAUCUGCCGCACAUUUGUAUUCCUCGGAGCGGGGCGGGAGGGCUGCAGCCAUCUGCCAGGGAGCUGGGGGAUCCUGGGCACACUGCGAGCCCUCCGUGUGGAGCUCCGCUGUGCCCUCUCCCCUUCCUCUGCACGGCCUUCUCCGUUCCACCUGUACCCUGCUAGGGCCCAGCAACACAGACCUGAGCAGGGCAUCGCCCAAACAGGACCUGCCCGCUCCUGCUGUGCAAAGGGAGCCGAGGGGACAUCGCUCCGCGGCUCGCAAGGCAAAGAGCUCUGGUGUGUGUGAAGAAGCAGAAGAGGGUCCAUGGGAUGUGCACAGUGCCUGGAUUCUGCCAACACCUGCAUCUCGGACCAGCGCACAGGCCCUGCUGCCCAGGAGGCUGGAUGUGCAGGCGGGUUUCCAGCUCCUCUGGGCAGAAGGGCAGCAGGCACUGGUGGACACUGGGGUGGACACUGACAGGAGGCA